GAACGCUAGCGGCAGGCUUAACACAUGCAAGUCGAGGGUAUAGUUCUUCGGAAUUAGAGACCGGCGCACGGGUGCGUAACGCGUAUGCAAUCUACCUUCACAGAGGGAUAGCCCAGAGAAUUUGGAUUAAUACCUCAUAGUAUAGCAGUUUCGCAUGAAACCACUAUUAAAGUCACAACGGUGAAAGAUGAGCAUGCGUCCCAUUAGCUAGUUGGUAAGGUAACGGCUUACCAAGGCAACGAUGGGUAGGGGUCCUGAGAGGGAGAUCCCCCACACUGGUACUGAGACACGGACCAGACUCCUACGGGAGGCAGCAGUGAGGAAUAUUGGACAAUGGGCGCAAGCCUGAUCCAGCCAUGCCGCGUGCAGGAUGACGGUCCUAUGGAUUGUAAACUGCUUUUAUACAGGAAGAAACACUACUUCGUGAAGUAGCUUGACAGUACUGUAAGAAUAAGGAUCGGCUAACUCCGUG
rnacentral:rRNA from 1 species